AGCAGCCGCGGUAAUUCCAGCUCCAAUAGCGUAUAUUAAAGUUGUUGCAGUUAAAAAGCUCGUAGUUGAAUUUCGGGGUUAGUAGGUUGGUCAUGCCUCUGGUAUGUACUGGUCUCACUGAUUCCUCCUUCCUGAUGAACCUUAAUGCCAUUUAUUUGGUGUUUUGGGGAAUUUGGACUGUUACUUUGAAAAAAUUAGAGUGUUUAAAGCAAGCUAACGCUUGAAUACAUUAGCAUGGAAUAAUGAAAUAGGACGUUCGAUCCUAUUUUGUUGGUUUCUAGGAUUGACGUAAUGAUUAAUAGGGAUAGUUGGGGGCAUUAGUAUUCAAUUGUCAGAGGUGAAAUUCUUGGAUUUAUUGAAGACUAACUACUGCGAAAGCAUUUGCCAAGGAUGUUUUCAUUAAUCAAGAACGAAAGUUAGGGGAUCGAAGACGAUCAGAUACCGUCGUAGUCUUAACCAUAAACUAUGCCGACUAGGGAUCGGAUGAUGUUAAUUUUUUUAAUGACUCAUUCGGCGCCUU
rnacentral:sRNA from 1 species